AGUUUUCCUGUGAAGAAAUCCUAAAUGAGGGUUGAGAUGAAGGCAACCAGGUGAUGGGCAGUUCAAGAUUGCUGUCGUUUGAGAAGUUAAUGAACACAUCUUCUUUCCUGUUGCGGUUGUGAGCUACAAAAUACCCAGAGGAGGCGGCACUUACUCUGGAGUUCAUACAGAAAAUUUUCCUGUGAAGAAAUCCUGAACGUGGUUUGAGAUGAAGGCAACCAAGUGGCUAUGCAUUCCUCCAAGACUCUUGCAUGAACAAUUUUGAAAAUCCAUGUAAUAUUUGAGUUUUU